rnacentral:lncRNA from 1 species
CUUUCUUUAGCUUGCCCAUGGUGAUGUGAAGAUGAGAAGAAAUAGCAAGGCCCAACCAGUUCUUCAUCUGGAGACAGUUCAACGUUCUGCAAACCAGAUCUUCAGGAAUUUUACUGGGAUAAUUAUCCAAAUAAAUUGCAAGCAUUCUAUCCAAAUGGAGCUCUUUCUGAGAUGAAGAGAAUUCUCAAUGUCAAGAUUUGAACAAGAAGAGAAUGGAAUACACAAUAUGGACAUCCAUAAAAAUUCAUCAGAGAGCAUUUUACUACUGAGCUGCAAAGGGGCAGGCAGGCUGGAGCGAGAGAGAAAUAGAGGAAGAGAUAAAGGAAGAAAAAUGCAAUAGAAUGUAUGUUUUCCCUGAAAAGCACACUCAGUGAACAAAAUUAGCCCUUGGGUUGCACGGACCCUGGGUUUUACAUCAUGGCUAUUGUUUAUUACUUGGAAGGAAAAACUUAAAAUGGAUAUGAAAAGUGAAGAAAGUGAUCAUAGGAGAAAACCAUUUCAGGUGUCUGAUGAUUUGUGAGCCUCAAGUGACUACUCUGUGGAAUCAUCUGUCCUUGCCUUUGAAUUAGCUUUCCCUAGGCCAUGAGUCAACAUUAGUAGUUUAUACAUCCAAAUUGAUGACAAGAGCACCUCAAAGGCAGCAGCCUCAAGGAGCAGCCAUGGCCCCAGACUUGUCGCACGGAUGCAGAAAACUUAAUGGAGGAGGCUGAGGUCAGAAUGGGAAGAGUUUUUAAAAAAUAAAAAGGGGAGCUAAUAUGUGAGGAA